AGCUUUGCUGGGUACUCGAGUGGCGAACGGGUGAGUAACACGUGGGUGAUCUGCCCUGGACUCUGGGAUAAGCCUGGGAAACUGGGUCUAAUACCGGAUAGGACCACUGAUUGCAUGGUUGGUGGUGGAAAGCUUUUGCGGUUCAGGAUGGGCCCGCGGCCUAUCAGCUUGUUGGUGGGGUAAUGGCCUACCAAGNCGACGACGGGUAGCCGACCUGAGAGGGUGAUCGGCCACACUGGGACUGAGACACGGCCCAGACUCCUACGGGAGGCAGCAGUGGGGAAUAUUGCACAAUGGGCGCAAGCCUGAUGCAGCGACGCCGCGUGAGGGAUGACGGCCUUCGGGUUGUAAACCUCUUUCGCUAGGGACGAAGCGUAAGUGACGGUACCUGGAGAAGAAGCACCGGCCAACUACGUGCCAGCAGCCGCGGUAAUACGUAGGGUGCGAGCGUUGUCCGGAAUUACUGGGCGUAAAGAGCUCGUAGGCGGUUUGUCGCGUCGUCUGUGAAAUUCUGCAACUCAAUUGCAGGCGUGCAGGCGAUACGGGCAGACUUGAGUACUACAGGGGAGACUGGAAUUUCCUGGUGUAGCGGUGAAAUGCGCAGAUAUCAGGAGGAACACCGGUGGCGAAGGCGGGU
rnacentral:rRNA from 1 species